CUUAGGUAAACUUUUUCUCUCCCUCCCUUUAAGAUAUGCAAGAUUUUUCCUCCAUUCGAAAUUCAAGGCAACUCUUUCCUCCUUACUUCCAUCUCUUCCCUCUCUUCCUCUUACUCUUCCACUCUUACUUCUCCUCCUUCUUCCUCUUUACCCUUCUCUUUUUUGUCUCCUCUCUUCAUUUCUCCCUCUUUUACUUCACUUCCCCCUUCUCUUCUUGUCUCUCUCUCUCUCUCUCUCUCUCUCUCUCUCUCUCUCUCUCUCUCUCUCUCUCUCUCUCUCUCUCUCUCUCUCUCUUACUUCUCCUCCUUCUUCCUCUUUCCCCUUCUCUUCUCCUUGUCAUCUGGUUCUUCAGUAUUCCUUCAUCCUUCUCUUCCUUCUCUAAUUCCCUUCUUCUACUUUCCCUUUCUCUCCUUCUCUUCCCUCUCUUAGAAAAAAUAAAGGUUCAUCGCCUAACGUCUCGAUUUUUUUAUCUUCCCCAAUUCACUUUUUCCUCCUCGUCCUUAUGAAUAUAUUUAGUUUUUUUUUCUCUUCUUUCUUUUACAUAUGCAGAUUUUUUUUUUUACUCUUUCAAUUAAGCAGAUCGUGUUGCAUUAAAUAUUCUCUCUCUCUCUCUCUCUCUCUCUCUCUCUCUCUCUCUCUCUCUCUCUCUCUCUCUCUCUCUCUCUCUCUCUCUCUCGCCUCGUGAAUAUAUAUUUGUUUGGCUUUUUUGGUCUGGGAUUUGCAUUUUCACUUUCAAUGGUAUCUUUUGUGUGUGUGUGUGUGUGUGUGUGUGUGUGUGUGUGUGUGUGUGUGUGUGUGUGUGUGUUUAUUAAGUUUCUGUUGAUCCCUUUCGCUCUGAUGGGAUCUGAGCGAUGCUUUAAGAAAAAAAAACUAUAUACGUGAUAAGAUUAUAGUAAAAAAAAUACUAUCGCGUUAUCAAAAAGACUAAAAUGUAUGAUAAGAUUCCAGUAAAAACUUAUAUCAGGUUAUAUUACGAAUGAUUUUUUUUUUUUUUUUUGGUGUGCGUGUUUAUGUGUGUGUGUGUGUGUGUGUGUGUGUGUGUGUGUGUGUGUGUGUGUGUGUGUGUGUGUGUGUAUGUUGUUACGUUCACCGCAAACUCCUCGUUCUCUUUCUCCUUCUUUCCCAACGCUCUCACUUUCAUUCUCUCUUUCUCGGCGUCUCAGGUGUUUGGGUGUUGGUGAACAGGUAAUGUAUAUAGUGUCCGCACUCCUCCCUCUCUACCUGUCUCGUCUCACAAUAAUAAUAAUAAAGAUAAUAGCUAAACCUCGAAAUAUAAGAAGACUUUUUCAUAUCCCAAAGUUCUGUUAUUGUAGUCACUCCCACCGAACACACACACAUACGUACACACUGCUCUACCUCCCUUACAUCCCUCGUCCGCCUUCUCCAGUCCCUUCCCCGCAGCACCCACGUCUGUUUCACACUCCAUUAGGCUGUGUUCUCCUUCCCACCCCUCCUGAGAACCGCCUUGAGUCCUGAGAAGUGCGAGGUGGCCCAUAUUCCCAAACAUUUCGGGGCUUACAUACCCACAUUUGGUAAGGCUUUCGUAUAGGCUGUGUUAGUGUUUCCAAGGAUAGUUUCAUAAGCUGAGAAGUGCGAGAAGGUCCGUUUUCUUGAGCAUUUCAGGACUCACACACACACAUUUGGUAAGGCUUUCAUGGAGGCUGUGUUAGUAAUUCCAUGGGUAGUUUUAUGAGCAUGGGGAUAGUUUGAAGAUGCCUCUGCACCAUGAAUGUGAAAAAACACUCCUGAGAACCCGACUAAUCUCUUUUGUGGCCUUUGGGAAGAGUUGUUGUGAGCGCCGAAAGCAUCUGAGAUUACGGGUCUAUAUAUCUUACUUUACGUCUAAGUCUGAUCAUUUUUCGUACCUUGACUGGCAGGUGUGUGUAGGUCUCUCUCUCUCUCUCUCUCUCUCUCUCUCUCUCUCUCUCUCUCUCUCUCUCUCUCUCUCUCUCUCUCUCUCAAAUCCCUGCUAUGUGGGUUAAACAAGUGCGAAAAAUUUAUAUAAAGCUGCAAGGAUUUUCUCCCCCUCAGAAGUAUCAAUUAACCUGCCAUUCCUGCCAUUCCCUCUCUCUCUCUCUCUCUCUCUCUCUCUCUCUCUCUCUCUCUCUCUCUCUCUCUCUCUCUCUCUCUCUCUCUCUCUCUCUCUC